rnacentral:lncRNA from 13 species
CGAGAGGGAUGAAUACUAGAGAGACGGAUAUUGUACUAUAUCGAGACAGAUAUUGUACUAUAGAAAGAGCUAGAGACAGAUACUGUACUAUAGCGAGACAGAUAUUGUACUAUAGAAAGAGCUAGAGACAGAUACUGUACUAUAGCGAGACAGAUAUUGUACUAUAGAAAGAGCUAGAGACAGAUACUGUACUAUAGAGACAGAAGGCCACAAAAACAGAUACUGUACAGAAGACCCUUAUUCCAGGUUUAGUCCAGGGCAGAGCACCUUGCGUGUAUGUGCAUUUUGAGUGUGAGGAGUCCAGUGGUGAGUGUGUGUGUUCUUGUGUUCCUGAGCCUGCUUGCAUCUCUCUGUCUGGUGUGAGCCUGGCCAGGCAUGACGUCACAGACACAGGAGUGGUUAUGUGGGAUGAUGGCUGAGUCAUCGAAGACCUCUGUCACCUCAGACACUCAGAGAGACAGGCCAGCUCAGAGAGAAGCUGCUAGCUGCAGUCCAACUAAACUUCUCUCUCUCUAUGGGAUUGACUUAAAGUUCAUCAUCAGAAGAGAGGCUUGUUACUGCAGCCUGAUAGUCCAGGGAAGUUCAUCAUCAGGAGAGAGGCUUGUUACUGCAGCCUGAUAGUCCAGGGAAGUUAAUCAUCAGAAGAGAGGCUUGUUACUGACGCCUGAUAGUCCAGGGAAGUUCAUCAUCAGGAGAGAGGCUUGUUACUGACGCCUGAUAGUCCAGGGAAGUUCAUCAUCAGGAGAGAGGCUUGUUACUGACGCCUGAUAGUCCAGGGAAGUUCAUCAUCAGGAGAGAGGCUUGUUACUGACGCCUGAUAGUCCAGGGAAGUUGGGGCCCAGUGCAGAGAGGAAUACAAGAUGGGAUGAAAAUGGGGCAUACGUAGUAGUGAAUAUGGAUAUGCGUCGCCUCUGUUUCUACAGUGCAGUGAGUGGGAGGUAUAUCCUAGUACAUAGGCCACAACCUGAGCAGUGCAGUGUGAGAGAGAGGCCCUCCCUGUCAAUCUGCUGGGGAUGCUUUAUAAAGCCCU